UAGACAUCUUCAAAACAAAGGGGUGUUUACGUCUGUAAAACCAAUCCUUCGGCAUAGAAUAAAGAAUAGAAUGGGUACCUCAGAUGCAAAAUCAUCAUCAUCAGCCGAUGAGAUCGGGCCUUAAACCAUCACGCGGGACUAACACCUUAACGUGCCUUCCGAAGCACGGAGGAGCUCGAGAUGAAAACUUUUUUGUGGUCUCCCAUCCUAUGACCGGCCUUUGCGAAAGUUGCUUAACUUCAACAAUCGCAGGCCGAGCGCGUUUACCGUUGCGCCACCGAGCUCCUCCAAAAUCAUACAAGGAAUUGGCGAAAUAAAAAUACAAAAAUUUAAUAUAAAGAUCGGUUUA